AAAAGAUUAUCUGCCAGGCAGGCACGUUGGUCUAUGUUCCUUACACACUUUAAUUAUGUGCUUACUUACAGGCCUGGUUCUAAGAACACUAAGGCAGACGCUUUGUCACGUCAGCACGAACCUACUACCUCUACAGAGGAUACUUUGUUCCCUAUUAUUCCUGAAGUCAAUAUUAUCGCCAACACCAAUGUCAAAAUACACUCUCCAUUGCUCUUAGAUAUAAUGAACGAACAAUCUCUUGCUCCCGAGCGUACU